rnacentral:rRNA from 2 species
CGACCUGAGAUCAGACGAG